rnacentral:tRNA from 1 species
GGGGUUGUGGCUCAGUUGUAGAGCGCUUGCCUCACAUGCUUGGGGCACUGGGUUCAAUUCCUCAGCACCA